GGGCCGUUAGCUCAGUCGGUAGAGCAGAAGGCUUUUAACCUUUGUGUCAUAGGUUCGAAUCCUAUACGGCCCACCA
rnacentral:tRNA from 4 species